rnacentral:SRP_RNA from 2 species
GCCAGGCGCGGUGGCCCACGCCUGUAAUCCCAGCACUUUGGGAGGCUGAGGCGGGUGGAUCACUUGAGGCCAGGAGUUUGAGACCAGCCUGGCCAACAUGGUGAAACCCUGUCUCUA